GAGUUUGAUCGUGGCUCAGAUUGAACGCUGGCGGCAGGCCUAACACAUGCAAGUCGAGCGGAUGAAGGGAGCUUGCUCCUGGAUUCAGCGGUGGACGGGUGAGUAAUGCCUAGGAAUCUGCCUGGUAGUGGGGAUAACGUCCGGAAACGGGCGCUAAUACCGCAUACGUCCUGAGGGAGAAAGUGGGGGAGUCUUCGGACCUCACGCUAUCAGAUGAGCCUAGGUCGGAUUAGCUAGUUGGUGGGGUAAAGGCCUACCAAGGCGACGAUCCGUAACUGGUCUGAGAGGAUGAUCAGUCACACUGGAACUGAGACACGGUCCAGACUCCUACGGGAGGCAGCAGUGGGGAAUAUUGGACAAUGGGCGAAAGCCUGAUCCAGCCAUGCCGCGUGUGUGAAGAAGGUCUUCGGAUUGUAAAGCACUUUAAGUUGGGAGGAAGGGCAGUAAGUUAAUACCUUGCUGUUUUGACGUUACCAACAGAAUAAGCACCGGCUAACUUCGUGCCAGCCGCCGCCGUAAU
rnacentral:rRNA from 1 species